rnacentral:rRNA from 1 species
CAGUCGCCGCGGUAAUACGAAGGGGGCUAGCGUUGUUCGGAAUUACUGGGCGUAAAGCGCACGCAGGCGGCUCGAUAAAUUAGAAGUGAAAGCCUUGGGCUUAACCUGAGAAUUGCUUUUAAGACUGUCGAGCUAGAAUCCAGAAGAGGGUAGUGGAAUUCCGAGUGUAGAGGUGAAAUUCGUAGAUAUUCGGAAGAACACCAGUGGCGAAGGCGACUACCUGGUCUGGCAUUGACGCUCAUGUGCGAAAGCGUGGGGAGCAAACAGGAUUAGAUACCCCGGUAGUCCCUGUCUCUUAUAC